rnacentral:rRNA from 1 species
CCUACGGGAGGCAGCAGUGAGGAAUAUUGGUCAAUGGGCGGAAGCCUGAACCAGCCAAGUAGCGUGCGGGAUGAAGGCCCUACGGGUCGUAAACCGCUUUUGCACGGGGAUAACACCCUCCACUUGUGGAGGUCUGCAGGUACCGUGCGAAUAAGGGCCGGCUAAUUCCGUGCCAGCAGCCGCGGUAAUACGGAAGGCCCGAGCGUUAUCCGGAUUCAUUGGGCUUAAAGGGAGCGUAGGCGGGCGUUCAAGGUAGCUGUAAAAUCGCGCGGCUCAACCGCGCCCCGCAGUUGAAACUGGACGCAUUGAGUUCACAACAGGCAGGCGGAAUGCGUGGUGUAGCGGUGAAAUGCAUAGAUAUCACGAGGAACCCCGAUUGCGAAGGCAGCCUGCCGGGGUGCGACUGACGCUGAGGCUCGAAGGUGCGGGUAUCAAACAGGAUUAGAUACCCCAGUAGUC